rnacentral:rRNA from 1 species
AGCAGGUGCGAAAGCAGGUCAUAGUGAUCCGGUGGUUCUGAAUGGAAGGGCCAUCGCUCAACGGAUAAAAGGUACUCCGGGGAUAACAGGCUGAUACCGCCCAAGAGUUCAUAUCGACGGCGGUGUUUGGCACCUCGAUGUCGGCUCAUCACAUCCUGGGGCUGAAGUAGGUCCCAAGGGUAUGGCUGUUCGCCAUUUAAAGUGGUACGCGAGCUGGGUUUAGAACGUCGUGAGACAGUUCGGUCCCUAUCUGCCGUGGGCGCUGGAGAAUUGAGGGGGGCUGCUCCUAGUACGAGAGGACCGG